AAAGUGGAUAGAGGUUGCGAUAUUUAAUAGUAUGUUUACAGAGUUAAGCAGCAAGGAAGUAAACAGAAAGGAAAUUUCGCCGAAACAUAUAACUGAAGCUUUAAGGUUAUUAUGUUGGGGUUAUAUAGAAUAUGUAUAACACUGUCACAAAAAGGAUUUGUGAUGAGCUAUUACUAUG
rfam:Clostridium celatum DSM 1785 genomic scaffold Scfld11, whole genome shotgun sequence.